rnacentral:rRNA from 2 species
GUGCGAGCUUGGGAGACAGACGUCGGGUGCUAACGUCCGGCGUCAAGAGGGAAACAACCCAGACCGCCAGCUAAGGUCCCAAAGAUUGGCUAAGUGGAAAACGAAGUGGGAAGGCUAAAACAGUCAGGAUGUUGGCUUAGAAGCAGCCAUCAUUUAAAGAAAGCGUAAUAGCUCACUGAUCGAGUCGUCCUGCGCGGAAGAUGUAACGGGGCUAAGCCAGUCACCGAAGCUGCGGAUAUCCUUUAUUGGAUAUGGUAGGAGAGCGUUCUGUAAGCCUGCGAAGGUGUCUUGUAAAGGAUGCUGGAGGUAUCAGAAGUGCGAAUGCUGACAUGAGUAGCGAUAAUGGGGGUGAAAAGCCUCCACGCCGUAAGCCCAAGGUUUCCUGUUCAACGUUCAUCGGAGCAGGGUGAGUCGGCCACUAAGGCGAGGCAGAGAUGCGUAGCUGAUGGGA